GACGAACGCUGGCGGCGUGCCUAAUACAUGCAAGUAGAGCGCUGAAGGAGGAGCUUGCUUCUCUGGAUGAGUUGCGAACGGGUGAGUAACGCGUAGGUAACCUGCCUGGUAGCGGGGGAUAACUAUUGGAAACGAUAGCUAAUACCGCAUAAUAGUAGAUGUUGCAUGACAUUUGCUUAAGAGGUGCAAUUGCAUCACUACCAGAUGGACCUGCGUUGUAUUAGCUAGUUGGUGGGGUAACGGCUCACCAAGGCGACGAUACAUAGCCGACCUGAGAGGGUGAGCGGCAACACUGGGACGGGGACAUGGCCCAGACUCCUACGGGAGGCAGCAGGAGGGAAUCUUCAGCAAUGGACGGAAGUCUGACCGAGCAACGCCGCGUGAGUGCAGAAGGUUUUCGGAUCGUAAAGCUCUGUUGUGAGAGAAGAUCGAGUGUGAGAGUGGCAAGUGCACACUGUGACGGUAUCUUACCAGAAAGGUACGGCUAACUACGUG
rnacentral:rRNA from 1 species